AGAGCGAACGCUGGCGGCAGGCCUAACACAUGCAAGUCGAGCGCCCGUAGCAAUACGGGAGCGGCAGACGGGAUAGUAACACGUGGGAACGCGCCCUUCGGUUCGGAAUAACUCAGGGAAACUUGAGCUAAUACCGAAUACGCCCUUACGGGGAAAGAUUUAUUGCCGAAGGAACGGCCCGCGUCCGAUUAGCUAGUUGGUGAGGUAAUGGCUCACCAAGGCUACGAUCGGUAGCUGGUCUGAGAGGAUGACCAGCAUCACUGGGACUGAGACACGGCCCAGACUCCUACGGGAGGCAGCAGUGGGGAAUAUUGGACAAUGGGCGCAAGCCUGAUCCAGCCACGCCGCGUGGAUGAUGAAGGCCUUAGGGUUGUAAAGUCCUUUUAACGGGGAAGAUAAUGACGGUACCGUAGAAUAAGCCCCGGCUAACUUCGCGCCAGCAGCCGC
rnacentral:rRNA from 1 species